rnacentral:rRNA from 1 species
AGAGUUUGAUCCUGGCUCAGAACGAACGCUGGCGGCAUGCCUAACACAUGCAAGUCGAACGAAGGCUUCGGCCUUAGUGGCGCACGGGUGCGUAACGCGUGGGAACCUGCCCCUCGGUUCGGAAUAACAGUUAGAAAUGACUGCUAAUACCGGAUGAUGACUUCGGUCCAAAGAUUUAUCGCCGAGGGAUGGGCCCGCGUAGGAUUAGCUUGUUGGUGGGGUAAAGGCCUACCAAGGCGACGAUCCUUAGCUGGUCUGAGAGGAUGAUCAGCCACACUGGGACUGAGACACGGCCCAGACUCCUACGGGAGGCAGCAGUGGGGAAUAUUGGACAAUGGGCGAAAGCCUGAUCCAGCAAUGCCGCGUGAGUGAUGAAGGCCUUAGGGUUGUAAAGCUCUUUUACCCGGGAUGAUAAUGACAGUACCGGGAGAAUAAGCUCCGGCUAACUCCGUGCCAGCAGCCGCGGUAAUACGGAGGGAGCUAGCGUUGUUCGGAAUUACUGGGCGUAAAGCGUACGUAGGCGGUUACUCAAGUCAGAGGUGAAAGCCCGGGGCUCAACCCCGGAACUGCCUUUGAAACUAGGUAGCUAGAAUCUUGGAGAGGUCAGUGGAAUUCCGAGUGUAGAGGUGAAAUUCGUAGAUAUUCGGAAGAACACCAGUGGCGAAGGCGACUGACUGGACAAGUAUUGACGCUGAGGUACGAAAGCGUGGGGAGCAAACAGGAUUAGAUACCCUAGUAGUCC